rnacentral:siRNA from 1 species
UCUGACGUAGAAGCGAGAGCUGCC